rnacentral:sRNA from 1 species
CAAAAAAACUGAAAUGGUUUCAUCUGUCCCAGCUGAAAAUAAAUCUGUCUUAAAUGAACAUCAGGAGACAUCUAAACAGUGUGAGCAAAAAAUUGCCAUAGAGAAUGAAUGGAAACCAGCUGAUAUAUUCAGUACUCUGGGGGAAAGGGAACGUGAUAGAAGUUCGUCGGAAGCAAAAAAAGCCCAGUGGAGGAAAGAGCUAGAUGAACAGGUUGCUUUAAAGAAGAAAGAAAAAGAAGUUUCUGAAAAAUGGAAUGAUCCUUGGAAAAAAUCUGAAAGUGAUAAAAUAAUAUGGGAAAAACAUCAAAUUCUUGACCAAUCUAGGCUCUUCAAGCAUUCUAUCACAGUCUCGUAGCCAGGUUAUGGUGGUCCAAGCUGAUGGGGCAUUCACAACUUAGAGCUAGUCAGACUUUAGAGGUAAGUCCUAAGUGUCAGUACUUUGGAUAUUUAAACCUUUUAGUAUUUGACCUCUAACCUAUUUUCCUUGAAGGAGAGAAUCUAAGUCCUCCUUAUUUUUAGUUAUCAGUUAAUUUUUACUUGAGUGUAUUAUGCUUCAUUUGCCUUCAUUUCUUUUUUACAUUUACUAUCCCUUCCUCCUUGUGAACAUUUACAUUUUAGCAAAUGUAUUCUGAAAAUAAUGUAGUAACCUGAAGGGAUGAUUCUCCUAAAGAGAUGAUUCUGGUGGUAGAAAUUUUUGGCACUAUGGCCUAAUUAGGUAAAUUUCUUAUAGAACCCCUUCAAGUUAAAUUUUGUGCAUGGCUGUCUGUUCUGCUUCAUGUAGAGCUGACUUGCCUACAUUGAAUACUUUUGUUGUCUGUUGAUAAUUUUACAUUAACAAAAGGAAUGAAAUCUGAAUUGCAUUUGCCCCCAAUCCCAAAAGCACAUUGACUGAAAAGGCAAUAAGGUUGUCUUGGUAGAACUC